UGUGAUGACGAGGCACUACGGUGCUGAAGUAACAAAUGCCCUGCUUCCAGGAAAAGCCUCUAAGCAUCAGGUAACAUCAAAUCGUACCCCAAACCGACACAGGUGGUCAGGUAGAGAAUACCAAGGCGCUUGAGAGAACUCGGGUGAAGGAACUAGGCAAAAUGGUGCCGUAACUUCGGGAGAAGGCACGCUGGUGUGUAGGUGAAGUCCCUGCGGAUGGAGCUGAGACCAGUCGAAGAUACCAGCUGGCUGCAACUGUUUAUUAAAAACACAGCACUGUGCAAACACGAAAGUGGACGUAUACGGUGUGACGCCUGCCCGGUGCCGGAAGGUUAAUUGAUGGGGUUAUCCGUAAGGAGAAGCUCUUGAUCGAAGCCCCGGUAAACGGCGGCCGUAACUAUAACGGUCCUAAGGUAGCGAAAUUCCUUGUCGGGUAAGUUCCGACCUGCACGAAUGGCGUAAUGAUGGCCAGGCUGUCUCCACCCGAGACUCAGUGAAAUUGAACUCGCUGUGAAGAUGCAGUGUACCCGCGGCAAGACGGAAAGACCCCGUGAACCUUUACUAUAGCUUGACACUGAACAUUGAGCCUUGAUGUGUAGGAUAGGUGGGAGGCUUUGAAGCGUGGACGCCAGUCUGCGUGGAGCCAACCUUGAAAUACCACCCUUUAAUGUUUGAUGUUCUAACGUUGGCCCCUGACCGGGGUUGCGGACAGUGUCUGGUGGGUAGUUUGACUGGGGCGGUCUCCUCCCAAAGCGUAACGGAGGAGCACGAAGGUUAGCUAAUCCUGGUCGGACAUCAGGAGGUUAGUGCAAUGGCAUAAGCUAGCUUGACUGCGAGCGUGACGGCGCGAGCAGGUGCGAAAGCAGGUCAUAGUGAUCCGGUGGUUCUGAAUGGAAGGGCCAUCGCUCAACGGAUAAAAGGUACUCCGGGGAUAACAGGCUGAUACCGCCCAAGAGUUCAUAUCGACGGCGGUGUUUGGCACCUCGAUGUCGGCUCAUCACAUCCUGGGGCUGAAGUAGGUCCCAAGGGUAUGGCUGUUCGCCAUUUAAAGUGGUACGCGAGCUGGGUUUAGAACGUCGUGAGACAGUUCGGUCCCUAUCUGCCGUGGGCGCUGGAGAAUUGAGGGGGGCUGCUCCUAGUACGAGAGGACCGGAGUGGACGCAUCACUGGUGUUCGGGUUGUCAUGCCAAUGGCACUGCCCGGUAGCUAAAUGCGGAAGAGAUAAGUGCUGAAAGCAUCUAAGCACGAAACUUGCCCCGAGAUGAGUUCUCCCUGAGACUUUAAGUCUCCUGAAGGAACGUUAAAGACGAUGACGUUGAUAGGCCGGGUGUGUAAGCGCAGCGAUGCGUUGAGCUAACCGGUACUAAUGAACCGUGAGGCUUAACCUU
rnacentral:rRNA from 1 species